rnacentral:rRNA from 1 species
UAGGGAAUCUUCCGCAAUGGACGAAAGUCUGACGGAGCAACGCCGCGUGAGUGAAGAAGGAUUUCGGUUCGUAAAACUCUGUUGUUAGGGAAGAAAAAAUGUAUAGUAACUAUAUACAAAAGAGACGGUACCUAACCAGAAAGCCACGGCUAACUACGUGCCAGCAGCCGCGGUAAUACGUAGGUGGCAAGCGUUGUCCGGAAUUAUUUGGCGUAAAGCGCGCGCAGGUGGUUUAGAAAGUCUGAUGUGAAAGCCCACGGCUCAACCGUGGAGGGUCAUUGGAAACUAAUAAACUUGAGUGCAGGAGAGAAAAGUGGAAUUCCUAGUGUAGCGGUGAAAUGCGUAGAGAUUAGGAGGAACACCGGUGGCGAAAGCGGCUAUCUGGACAGUAACUGACGCUGAGGCGCGAAAGCGUGGGGAGCAAACAGG